GAAAGAUCUUUGGAGGAACUGGAAUCGACUAUCAAUGCUGAUCUGCUUUAUUAUUCUGACUGGCUGCGUUAUAACAGACUGAGCAUAAAUGUAGACAAGACUGUAUAUAUGUAUAUAAGGCAGAAGAACAAGCCAUUCCAUGAAAUACAAGUCAAGUUUGAUGAUAUUUCACUUGAUCGUGUGAAACAGCACAAAUAUCUAGGGUUGUAUAUUGAUGAAAGAUUGAAUUGGGAAAAACACAUAGAACACAUGAUACGUAGGUUAACUCCUGUGGUGGGUUCCCUGAGAAGAUGCUCAUUUAUGUUCAGUACACAACACAAAAAAAUGAUCUACCACAUCUUGAUCUCCUCCAGACUGAGGUACCUCAUUAAUUGUUGGGGAAAUGCAUCAAAUACAUUAUUAACAAGGCUACAAGUGUUCCAAAAUAGAACUAUAAAGAUAUUAUUGAACUAUGGCAAGUUAACACCUACAUCAAUAUUCUAUAAGAACACUAAACUUUUGGACAUUCAUAACCUAAAGAAAUUGGAACAAGUUAA